GAGAGUGUGCAGCUACAAAUGGUGUGCAAUAUGAAUUUGCAGUGAGAUUUCCAAAGAGAGACAGAGAGAUAACGUGGGAGAGAGGAGAGAGUAGGGCCCGCACCCCAGCGCGCUCAUGCGCAUGCCUGGUGUUAGGGGUGAACACGGGUUGGGUCGGUCGGGUUAGGGGCAAAAAAAUGACCCAACCCAAUUAGUUCGGUUUAUAAAAAAUUAACCCAUUGAUCAAAAAAAAUAUACAUAACCCAACCUUGCUAAUUAAAAUAUGGGUUGGGUUGGUUCGGUUUGGGUCGGGUUUUACCAGCAAAAAAGAAAAAUACAAACUAAAUAAACUGUCAAUGCUGCCAAAUUGCCAAUCUGCUCCAGUUCACUGUUCUUGCACUUCAUAGUUCAUAAUACAUAACAAAAUAUUGUCCUAAUUUACAUAUCAGAUAAUAGUCUGCUUAAAAGUUAUAUAAGGGCAGUUCUAGUUUUAGCAUCUGGUGAGUUGUAAAUUAAUUUACUAGUUGAUCUGUCAUUCAACAGUAUCUGGUGAGUGAGGAUUUUAAAAAAACCAGCAAACUAUGUGGUAAAAAAAUAUUGGACCUGGGAAUAAUAUGUUUAUUUAAUUAUUUUUAUAUAAACGGGUUGGGUUGGGUUGGUUGAGGGUUAAAAUAUGUUAAACCCUGACCCAACCCAAUUUAUUCGGGUUUUUUGAAAAUCAACCCAAAUAAUAAUCGGUUUCAAAUGGUUCGGUUUAAUCGGGUGAAAAAAGGGUUGGUUUGGGUCGGUUUUUGCGGUUUGGGUUGGUUUUGUUCACCCCUACCUGGUGUUACCAGAACUAGACCCUCACCCUAUCUAACCACACACAAUAUUGACCUAACCGUAACCCUAACCCAAACAAACCAACACUAAUCACCCUUCGAAACCAACAAAACAAACACCAAUCUCCCCUCUCUCUAUACAUA
rnacentral:lncRNA from 1 species